GACAGAGGGUGCAAACGUUGUUCGGAUUUACUGGGCGUAAAGCGCGUGUAGGCGGCUUUGCAAGUCGGAUGUGAAAUCCCACGGCUCAACCGUGGAAGUGCAUCCGAAACUGCAUCGCUUGAGUCUCGGAGAGGAAGGUGGAAUGCUUGGUGUAGAGGUGAAAUUCGUAGAUAUCAAGCAGAACACCUGCGGCGAAGGCGGCCUCUGGACGAUGACUGACGCUGAGACGCGAAAGCGUGGGAGCAAACAGG
rnacentral:rRNA from 1 species